ensembl:ncRNA F23H12.14 ncRNA
CAGUCGGUUAGCUUCCUUUCAUCCAAAUUCUCUUUUCGGAUAGAGGGGGUCAUUCGGGUGAAAGUCGUAUAAGAAUAAUGUGAAGAGAUAUGGGGAAUCAGCCGUUAAUUGGGAAAAAGAAAAGAGACAAGGA